rnacentral:rRNA from 1 species
UGGGGAAUCUUGGACAAUGGGGGCAACCCUGAUCCAGCCAUGCCGCGUGAGUGAUGAAGGCCUUAGGGUCGUAAAGCUCUUUCGCCUGUGAAGAUAAUGACGGUAGCAGGUAAAGAAACCCCGGCUAACUCCGUGCCAGCAGCCGCGGUAAUACGGAGGGGGUUAGCGUUGUUCGGAAUUACUGGGCGUAAAGCGCACGUAGGCGGACCAGAAAGUUGGGGGGUGAAAUCCCGGGGGCUCAACCCCGGAACUGCCUCCAAAACUAUUGGUCUAGAGUUCGAGAGAGGUGAGUGGAAUUCCAAGUGUAGAGGUGAAAUUCGUAGAUAUUUGGAGGAACACCAGUGGCGAAGGCGGCUCACUGGCUCGAUACUGACGCUGAGGUGCGAAAGUGUGGGGAGCAAACAGGAUUAG